UCAAAAUAACUCCUACAAGCUAGGAAUUAAAAGAGAACUGAAUGACUGGUUCUCUAAUAACUAAAUAAUAAAGGAGAAGCUGGAAAAUCCAUGGUGUCACGGAAACAAGGCAAUUUUGAGUCGAGACCAAAUAGAUAAAGAGAUGAUCAAAACCUUAAUUGAUAGGAAAGUCCAGGCUUGGGUCUUUCUUGAGAUGAAAGAAGUAAUGGAGAAUAGGAGAAUACCAGUAACAAGAAGAAGUGUAAAGCAGUGCAAGCUCAGUGGGAAGGAGGCUGCGGCCGCACCGGCGGUGGAGGCAGCGAUGGCGGAAGCGUUACUGAGCUGUGGAGAGAAGGGGCGAGCAGGCGUGAAGAAUAAGUGGCGCGUGGGGCGCGUGAGAGUUAGGGUUUUUCGUUCUUUUUUUGUAGAGAGGGUUUUAACUUUUUCUCUCCUUCGUUGGUCUUUAUUUAUUUUAUUUUAUUAAUAAAUAAAACUGUGGGAAUGGAUUAAACAAAACAUAACUCUCUAAUUUGAUUUCGGAUAUGCUUUCACGAA